rnacentral:lncRNA from 1 species
UGGGAAUCACCCCUGGAAUGUUUGAGCAUCACAGCUGAAGGUGUCAGCAGCAGUUGGCAGAUCAGGAACUGUGCGAACUGGGCAGCAUAGACCCAAAACAUGCGUGGUGCAACAGUGUGGAAACAGGUGUUUGUCAGUGAGAGACAGUAGAGGACAGGUCGUAAUGAUAUACAGUAUGAGAGAACUGAUCCCCAUAUUUGAAUUUGAUAUUUGAAUUAGUUCAUCAUAUCCUCAUCUUUGCUGUGUGGUUUCACUGUAUUGACAUGAGAGUGGUUCAAGCUCAAAGUUUUCUAAGUAAAGGGUUAGCAUUUGUUAGCUAUGGCGAGGUUUUAGGGCCACAUAAAAAUUAGUUUUUAGAUUUAAUCUCGUAAUAUUACUACUUAAUUUUUUUUUAAAAUACUUUUUAUACUACUUUUUUUUUUAAAUGUGGACCUAAUAUUCAAUAAAAUAUUGUAAAAACAAAUGAGCUGUCUGAUGGCAAAGUAAAGUGCUUCUGAUUAGAGCGUACGCCUAAAUCGAAACUUAAACUGAACUAUAAUUCAGGCAUAUAGGAUUAUUACAGAUUCUAAUGUAAGGCUUGUGCAUCAGAAGUUUGCACAUGUGCCUUUCUCCCUCAGACAGUGUUGAGGGAUUAUGAAGGGGCCCAUGUUGGAAAAACCAGAGGCCCUUAGAGUACCAGUCUGAUCUCUAAAUACAUACACAAGCACCCAGGGGUCAUGAACCAGGGGUCUCCUGGGACCAGUUGCUGCGUGGUCCCUCUCUACACACGAGAGGGACCACGUAGGAGGGAGGGGGUUUACCAUGUGAGCGAACCACUUGCUUUAGAUGUCAGAGGGUUAAUUUAUGAUCGCUGUUUGAUGUCACAGCAGCAGCUCUGACAUGUUACACCUCUAUGUGAAGGGAAAUUGCAAGUGUGAAGAACCUACUCAAUGUGUAAAUUAAAAGGCAACAAUCAGAGCUCCUUUUUUAAAAUCAUAUUUAGGUUUCCUUGGUCCCCACUGACCUCGAGGAGUUUCACAUCCAGGCCUCACAAAAGCAAAUGUGCUGCCCCUGUUAUACACUUCUUUUGGGUGUACCUUGGUGCGCCUUCUCCCAGCCUGUUGUGGCCAACAAGGGGUGACUCUAGAGAGGAGCACUGCAAAUUCAGCGACGAUAAUGAUGGAAGUACAUCAGGCCUACAGAGGGCGCCAACCUUGUCAAUAAAGAAAACAACUCCAAUCUGAAAUUUAGGCUUCAGGGGAGGUACAGAUUUUAGCAUCUCUCUCCUUCAGGAGGCAGACACCCUCCCUUAAAAAACACAUAGGCUAAAUUUACAUGAUUAUUUAUUCAGAGAGAGAUGAUCGUAAAGGGUGCCACAGGUUCAGGACAGCUCUUAGUCAUUUAGCUACAGGUUUGGGCUGCCUAAGGCUUGGAGCAGAUCAGAAGUAUGUUACUUUAGGCUUAAGGUUAGGUUUAAACCAAGCACUGCUAUAGACUUGAAGCUGGCUCUUGGUUAUGGUUGGUUUUACUGCUUUAAGCUUUGACUGAAUCAGGCUGCUGAAGACCUAAUCUAGGUCAGGCCUAGACAGCUGUUGUGCUAUAGACUUCAGGAUGACUAGACC